AGCGAACGCUGGCGGCAGGCUUAACACAUGCAAGUCGAGCGGGCACUUUCGGGUGUCAGCGGCGGACGGGUGAGUAACGCGUGGGAACGUGCCCUCUGGUUCGGAAUAACUCAGGGAAACUUGAGCUAAUACCGGAUACGCCCUUUUGGGGAAAGGCUUGCUGCCGGAGGAUCGGCCCGCGUCUGAUUAGCUAGUUGGUGAGGUAACGGCUCACCAAGGCGACGAUCAGUAGCUGGUCUGAGAGGAUGAUCAGCCACACUGGGACUGAGACACGGCCCAGAAUCCUACGGGAGGCAGCAGUGGGGAAUAUUGGAAAAUGGGCGGAAGCCUGAUCCAGCCAUGCCGCGUGAGUGAUGAAGGCCUUAGGGUUGUAAAGCUCUUUUAUCCGGGACGAUAAUGACGGUACCGGAGGAAUAAGCCCCGGCUAACUUCGUG
rnacentral:rRNA from 1 species